CGGGAGGGCACGCACUUACGUGCUUGCGUCACACGUAACCUGGUGUCGCGAUCUCUUCACCAUGACUACCAUUACCUCAGUUCGGAGCAACUCCAUCGUGCAUCAGGAUAAAUUAGCAACUUAAGAAUUAGGGCCACCCAGACCAAAUUUAAACAUCAAGCAAGUAUCUACAAAGGGGGGAAAAUCAUAUAAGUUACAAGUAAAUUACAAUGGACUACAUUUUGCGGCGGAGGGACACACCUGACUCUGGACUACAGUUUGAGGCGGAUUAAUACACCGAGUGGAGUUUGGCAAGUUGGAGCGUUUACUACUGAAAGCAUCAAUGGCGGGAAGCAGAGUUCUGAAGAUCCCUUUCAUGAAGUGGAAAUGGUCAAGGAAGAAUACUACAGCACUACAAAGAGCAGAUUUAUUCCUAAACAACAUUCAUGGAACCUGUUUGCAAUAAAUGUGUUCAAAGGUGGCACUGUUUUUAAAAGAUGUACCA